rnacentral:tRNA from 1 species
GCGGGCGUAGUUCAAUGGUAGAACCGGAGCCUUCCAAGCUCCUGACGCGGGUUCGAUUCCCGUCGCCCGCUCCA